rnacentral:rRNA from 1 species
UACGUAGGGUGCUAGCGUUGUCCGGAUUUAUUGGGCGUAAAGGGCUCGUAGGCGGCGUGUCGCGUCGGGGAGUGAAAGCCCGCUGCUUAACGGCGGGUUGGCUUCCGGUACGGGCAUCGCUGGAGUGCGGCAGGGGAGACUGGAAUCCUGGUGUAGCGGUGAAAUGCGCAGAUAUCAGGAGGAACACCGAUGGCGAAGGCAGGUCUCUGGGCCACUACUGACGCUGAGAAGCGAAAGCGUGGGGAGCGAACAGG